rnacentral:lncRNA from 1 species
ACCAGAUGGGACGUGUCUUCCACGAGGACUCCUUGGAGUAGGACUUCCCACGAGCCUCAAGAGGUAAGGAGGACUUAGGUCGAUGCCGAGGAGGCCCGUGCACACCCCUUAGCUAAUUAACGCCCAUGGUACCUCUACUGAAAUAAUGCCGCUUUGCAGAAAAUUAAUAUGACCAAAGUUCCGCUUCCUGGAAACAUACACGUAUGCGCUCACAGAUUUCACAAACCUGAUACUCUUCUGUUGUUUUUUUUUUUUUUUUUUUUUUUUUUUUUUUUUUUUAUGUUGAACAGUAAAAUGCACUGUAGGCACACAGUCAAUACUGAGUAAAUUACCAUCGAGUCAAUGCUGAGGAAGGAAGACCUUUGGGUCUCAGGCCUCCGUUUGUGAGUCCUUCGUUUCUCUAUUUUUUUUCUUUUUUUCCCAGUUCUGUGUCCUAUUUUCUCUAGAAAUACUCUCCUAGUAAACUCUGGUCUUAAGACGGGAUCUGACCACGGUUAUCAGCUUUCCAUCAGUAUCUUAUUUCUCCUGGGACUAGCUGUGUUGGCAUUAUCUCUGUUUAUCCAAAGAAAAGCACGGUCUGUUUUUAAAAUGAGCCGAGGGUAAGCAAGCCAGAUGUUUCUGUCUGCUGGCAAAAGGCGCCAGGUUCGCUGGCCCUCUCCUCCACAGGAGACUCCAGAGGGCAGUGCCAGCACAUAGUAGGUGCAUAAGAAAUGUGAAAAUGCCUGAGCACAUUGAGGGAGUUCAGGACUCUACUAAAGAACCUGCAUCUCUGGAGGAGAUCUUGUUUUGAAGUCUUUUUGGAACAGAACUACGGCUGUUCACCAGUUCGGGGCCAGGGCUGGCUGCGAGAGCUUCGCUGCAGUGAAGCUGCAUAAAGAAGCCUUGCUAGAGGAAAGGUUUUCUCUUCCUCUCCCCUUCAAAGGUGCACUUGCUUUUUCUCCAUGUGCUCAGACGGGUGUCUAGGGUCGGCUACAGUCCACAGGUUAUGCUUUGGCCAAAGCGUUUCUAGAACCACACAGGUGCUUCAGAACCUAAGUUUUUAUAAAUAGACUUCAGACAGAGCGUGUGUAUUGGAGAUAUUGUGGUUCCUCUCUGUUUUCCUCAUUUGUUGACUUGGCUAAAUCCAGAUGGAGGAAAAGAGAAGACGCACACCCAGGGGGCUUCUAAGGAACCCCUUCUGUCCUGUGUGAGAACAGCUGGCAGCUAGCUCAGUGUUUUGUCUGGAGAUUUUUCCUGCCAUAUCUUCACUCCCGGGCGAUGGAGCAUACCUUGUUUCUUGAUGGGGAGGCUGGUAUGACUGUGAGCAUCUAUCUUCUAACGGAGCCUCUAAAUAAGCUAAUAGACAAUGCUAUGGAAAACCAGAAAAUACUCUUUCCUAUCAGAGCCCGGCUUUCACAAAAUGAGGGGUUAUAAUGGCGAGACAGAGUCACAGUUGCUUUUGCUUUAAGCGCAGCCUUGGAUGCUCCCCUGGAGGAAGCCGCGAAACGGAGAAGCGUGGAGCUCUGGGGAAGGGCUGUCCAGUGCUCUGACCCUGCACUCCCCCUGCCCUGAGCUGGCGAGCAGCCUGGGCAGGUCCUGAGCCCUCCAGAUCCACACGCCUGCUUCGCUUCCUGGCCUGACUGCUCAGACAAGGGCCCCCAAGUAGUGGCUACAUCUUGUCCCCCAUGUCACGAGGGCGUGACAAGCCCUGGCCCCCCUCCUUUCCUGGGGGUCCCUGAUGUGUGACACAACAGAGGACCCGCUUGCAGAGAGGAUCAAAUUUCCUUCCUCCUGCCCCUGGGUUGCUCGGAGACACUGUGGCUUCAGAGGACCAGCCUGAAGUGACACAGAACCUAGCUCAUCACACAGCCGAAGGUAGGCAGCCAGCCCCUCCUGCCGUGCCCCCCCAUCCCGCACCCCGUCUCCUCACUCUUGCCCCCUCGGGAUUGCAGCACCUGCCGAAUGGUUCACGCCUAAACUCAAGCUCUGUUUGGGGGGGACCCUGACUGAGACACCCCGUGUUCUUAAUUCCUCAUCUGGACAAAGGGAUUGGACCCACCCAGUUUCAUGUGAAGGAAGAAAGAGGGCCCGAGGGGGGUUUUUUAAAUGUAGGAAGGGGUCCUGGCGACCUUUUGGGCUGUAAGCCCCUGUGGAAACCUUGAUGACCACUGUGCACGUUUGUGUUUUUUAAGAGUUUUCCUGGAGGAUAGUUGAUUUACGAUGUUGGGUUAGUUUCAGGUGUACAGCGGGGUGACUCAGUCACACAUGCACAUACUUUCGGAUUCUUUUCCCGUGUAGGUUCUCACAGGGCAUCGAAUCCAGGUCCUUGUGCUGUACGCUGCGUCCUUGUUACCUGUGCGUUACUGGGUGUCUGCUAAUCCCAACCUCCUGAUUUACCCUCCCCCGCCAGGUGACUGUAAAUGUGAUUUUGAGGGUUUUUAUUUGAGGUCGUGUGUCACUCGGCUCAGCUCCAUCCUCAACCGCAGGUGAAAAGUGAGAAGCAGAAGGGGCGUUGAUGUUGAGAUGUAAAUUGAUGGGAAGAUAAAAAAGGGUCUCAUUCUGCAAAUUUGCCUUAUGCAGAACAUGCUUCCAAGUCAGCGUCGGUGAGCAGCCGAAUAAAAAUGGCCUGUCUCUUACUCUCAGUGUCCACAGUGCUGCCGGUUAGGAAAUGCAUACGGACUGGCGUCGCUGUCCUAGACUCCCUUCCUUUUUCUUUCCGUGGGGAUUGGAUACACGCCCAGGAGUGGGAUUGCUGGGUCAUAUGGUGGUUCCAUUUUUAGUUUUCUUUAUUAUUUUAUUUAUUUAUUUAUUUGUCUUUUUGCCUUUUCUAGGGCUGCUCCCGCGGCAUAUGGAGGUUCACAGGCUAGGGGUCCAAUCGGAGCUGUAGCCGCCAGCCUACGCCAGAGCCACAGCAACGUGGGAUCCACGCCACAUCUGUGACCUACACCACAGCUCAUGGCAAGGCCAGAUCCUUAACCCACUGAGCGAGGCCACUGAGCGAGGCCAAGGAUCGAACCCAAAAUCUCAUGGGUCCUGGUCGGAUUCAUUAACCACUGAGCCACGACGGGAACUCCUAUUUUUAGUUUUCCGAGGCACCUCCAUCCUGCUCGCCAUAGUAGUUGUACCAAUUUACAUUCCCGCCAACAGUGCAGGAGGGUUCCUUUUCUCCAUAUCCCCUCCAGCACUUGUUAUUUGUAGAAUUCAUUAAUGAUGGCCUUUCGGACUGGGGUGGGGUGGUGCCUCAGUGUAGUUUUGAUUUGCAUUUCUCUAAAAACUAGUGACGCUGAGCGUUUCUUCAUGUGCCUUCUGGGUAACCACAUGUCUUCUUUGGAGAAAUGUCUCUUUAGGGCUUCUGCCCGUUUUUCGGUUGUGUUGUUUGCGGUGGUGGUGUGGUCGAGCUGUGUGUAAGUCGUUCGUCUGUUUUGGAGAUCAGGCCCAGAUGAUAUGCCUUCUAUGUGGAAUCUAAAAUGUGGCACACGAUCCUGUCUACAGAACAGAAGCAGAGCAAGACGUGGAGAGCAGACUUGCGGUUGCCGGGGGAGGAGGAGGGAGGUGGGAGUGGGAGAGUUGGGGGUUGCCAGUUGAAAACGCCUUCACUUGGAGUGGAUAGGCAGUGGGGUCCUGCCGCACAGCACAGAGAACUGUGUCCAAUCUCCUGUGUUAGAACAUGAUGGAAAAUAGCAUGAGAAAGUAGAACAAUGUAUAUACAUAUAUAUCUAUGGCUGGGUCCCUUUGCUCUACCGUAGAAAUUGAAGGAACAUUGUAAAUCAACUAUACUUUAAUAAAAAUGAAAAAAAAAA